GUCGGGCCUGCAGUACUCGAGCGCGUCAGAAAGAGGCAGGCAACACGGACCACCUGGAUGAAAGCGGGUGAUGCUCGCACAGUUUUCUUCCAGGCAAAUAUCAUCUCCAGGAGGAGGAAGAACCACAUCCACUGCAUUGAGGCCGCGGGCAGGCAGGCAACAAACCACAGCGACAAAGCGAAGCUGAUCCAUGAACAUUUCUCUGCCCUGGUUGGCACCAAGGGGAGGAGGGCUCGGACAAUCAAUUGGGAUUCGAUCAAGCUCCUGCGACUACAGGCAGGGACUGGCCUCGACAACCCCUUCACGGAGGGAGAGGUGUGGGCAGCGAUCUGCGUCUCUCCGGCAGAGAAGUCGCGAGGACCAAACGGUUACAAUGGCACUUUCUUCAACUAUCAAGGCUGA
rnacentral:rRNA from 1 species